rnacentral:lncRNA from 1 species
AGAGCAAUGUCCCUACUUGAAAUUUGAAAUGUGAAAGCAGUAGGGAAAUGGGGUCGUUUUUUCCCUCUUUCUUUUGUCCAAAACCCUCAUGUAUAUGUAUAUCUAUCAAUUUGCUCCACAAAACACUCGUAAAUGGUGAGCAUGAGAAUUGAAGAACCUGAUUGGCUCAAAAUAGCUAAAUCUCAAUAGUCAAUAAUCUCCCCCCCAUGCAAAACGCCAAACUUUUAAUGAGCCAUUGACGUGUCUCCUCUUUGGCACCGACAACUCUGACACCUCAUUGCUUGCAUUUGCAUCUUCAUUUGUUUCCUUCCUCAAAUCUCAAACCCAAUUCAGCUCUUCAUUCCAUGCACAUGGAUGCUAAACCAGCUAGACAACACGUAUUGAUGACAUGGACGAAUUUUGUUCCUAUCUGCAACAUUUAACAAUUCUGAUUCAACAGCUUGAUUAAAGUACUGUUUAGCAUAUGAUAUAUUAGUAUAAAUCAUUUGGAUAUAUCAAUGUAAAUGGAAAGAAAAUUCCAACAAAAAAUGAAAGCACAGACUUCAAGUACAGCCACAUGCAUUUCCAAAUGAAAACGGAUUCUCCAAUCUUCUUAUCCUGAACCAACCAAAGCCAAUGAAAAUUGAAAUCCUAUUAACUUGUCAGCCACUAAAAUUCUCAUAUGCAAAUUAGAGGCUAACUGGUUUGCAAGUUGCUAGAUCAUUUGGUUGUCAACCAAGCUAAUAAUUUUAUUGUAAAGAGUUACUUAUUAUCACCAGUAUGAUUAUUUUACAUAACUGAAGAAAAUAUAUAGAAAAUUCACUUCAUUCCCAUGAAUAAGUGAAUAAACUAUUGAUUAAAGCAAGUUUUUUAUUCACCAUGAGUUGUGCCAUUAACAAGAUUCAAAAUAUCUCUUCUGAAGAUAUUUCAAUGUGUGCUUUGGUGUAUGCCAUUGCUACUUACUAUUGCACAUAACACUUGUUGUUAGCUAUAUUCUUUUUUAUCCUAUAACAAAGAACAACCAAAUUGUGGAUAUAUCCACCUUUAAUAAGCAAAAUAAUCAACAAAACCUACACCCAAAGGCAUUCAGUUGUUCCAAAAGAGGGUAUUCGUGACCUUUAAAAACUUAAAACUUUUAGGAUCUCCAUUUUGUGAAGUAUGGACAUGGAAUGACCGCGUUUUAGAUAAUGACCUUUGAAAAGUUGAGGUGACUAGUUUGAUCUUAUGCACUUUUUCCCAUCUAAACGGAGCCCACCAAUAUUUUCUCCUUCUAAAGCUCUGACCCAAGGUUCAUUUUAUAAAUGG